rnacentral:rRNA from 1 species
AUGGCAGAAGAGGAUAUUCCAAAAACUGCAUUCACUACUCACAUGGGAUUGUUUGAGUUUUUAGUUAUGUCCUUUGGACUAACUAAUGGUCCUCCCUCCUUCCAAGCACUAAUGAAUUUACUGUUUGGCCAUCUCAAAUUUGUGGUAGUUUUCUUUGAUGAUAUACUGGUGUUCAGUUUUUCAUUAAAGGAACACAAGGACCAUUUGAAGCAGGUGUUUGAUAUUUUAAAAGCAAACAAGCUAUAUGCAAAAAUGAAAAAAUGCUCUUUUGGUCAGCAAGAGAUUGAGUACUUAGGUCAUGUGAUUAACUCUGAGGGAGUUUCUACUGACCCAUCUAAGAUACAGUCCAUUAGAGAGUGGCCAACUCCUACUACUGUCACUGAACUAAGGAGUUUUUUGGGGCUAAGUGGAUAUUACAGAAGGUUUAUCCAGGGAUAUGGAGUAAUUUGA